CGGUCGCCCCCCAGCGGCCCUGUCGGCCCAGUGGGUUGAUUCAACAGGUGUUCAGGUUGGGGAAUCUUGGCCCACGACGUCCAGUCCUGCCUCCCACCUCAUCCCUUUUUUGUGUUAAGCACACUAGGGACUGGGCACUGGAGCAUGACUUCAUUCACCCCAGGACCCACCCGGACAAGACUGGCUUUUCACCUUUGAGAACCAGCACCUGACACACUGAAGACACUCAGCAAGCAUUGUUGAAGGACUUAAUGCCAUUUGUCAGGAGGGAGUGUGAAUGAGUCCGUGCAACUCCAUGCUAACUUCCACAAACACACCUGCAUUGCUAGGUGGUGUGCAUCCCCCUUCCUCUUACCACAGGAAGCCCAUCCAUCCUGUCCCAACCACAACAAGUAAAUAGACCCACUGAAGCCCCGCCCGCGCGCGUGUGCGCCUGUGAGCAGGCGCGUGUGAAAUGUACAGAGGGGGCGCCCCCCCCCCAAGUCCCCAGCGGAGCAUUGAAUCAGCCUGA